rnacentral:lncRNA from 1 species
CUCAUUUAACACAUAUAUGCAUUAACUUUACUAAUAAACAAACAUAUAAAUACAUAAAAUUAUUCUAGAAACCGAAGCCUUUUUUAUCGUAUAGGAAGCAGAACCUACCAUGUAUAACGAUCUUUCCGGAAAAUGAUAUAACUUUUAUUUGAUCGUGAAGGAGGCAGAGCCUGGCAUAUAUCUAACGACCAAUCCGGAAAUAAGGUAGUUAUAUAUUUGAUCGUAAAGGAGGCAAAGCCUACCACUUGUUACAAUCAAUCCGGAAAAAUGCAUACUCUUAUGAUGUCUAUAAUAUUUAUGUUCUAUAAACAUAAAAUAAAAUAAUAUAAAUUUUACUUACCUCGUAAAACCUCUGGCGGUAAAGACAUCGUGCUGAUAACGUGUUGUAAACUUUAUCUUUAUAUAGGUGAUGAAGAUCAAACAAGAUAAUAAACAAAGAGAAAAUUAGAACUAGAGAGAAUUGAAAAGAUCUCA